rnacentral:rRNA from 1 species
CCCCUAGAUGUUCUGGGCCGCACGCGCGCUACACUGAACAGUUCAACAAGUCUUAACCUUGGCCGAUAGGUCUGGGUAAUCUUUGAACGCUGUUCGUGAUUGGGAUAGACCUUUGCAAUUAUGGGUCUCAACGAGGAAUUCCUAGUAAACGCAAGUCAUCAGCUUGCAUUGAUUACGUCCCUGCCCUUUGUACACACCGCCCGUCGCACCUACCGAUUGAAUGGUCCGGUGAAAUCUCGGGACGGCGGCUUGGUCGCUUGCGUCCGACUGCUGAAACUUGAUUAAACCAUAUCAUUUAGAGGAAGGUGAAGUCGUAACA